rnacentral:rRNA from 1 species
UACGUAGGUGGCAAGCGUUGUCCGGAUUUAUUGGGUUUAAAGGGUGCGUAGGCGGCCCCGUAAGUCAGUGCUGAAAUAUCCCGGCUUAACCGGGAGGGUGGCAUUGAUACUGCAGGGCUUGAGUAAAGUUGAGGUAGGCGGAAUUGACGGUGUAGCGGUGAAAUGCUUAGAUAUCGUCAAGAACACCGAUAGUGUAGACAGCUUACUAGCUUAACUGACGCUGAGGCACGAAAGUGUGGGGAUCAAACAGG